UUCCUUUCCUUGGCUCAUUACUUUCCUUAUCUGGCACUAUCCUUUUGGGGGCUUUAAGUUUUGGGUGAUUUCUUGCUCUAUAUUCCCCUUUCCAUUGCUUCCUUUCUUCACUUGACUCCCCGCUUCUUCACUUUUCAGGUGCUCUGGAUUGAGGAGAUUCCUAGCUCUAUGCUCACUUUCCUUAAUUCAUCACUUUCCUUAUUUGGCACUUUUUGGGAGCUCUGUGUUCAUUUUCUCAUCACUUCCUUCUUUCCCCUCUCAUCCUCUUAGUCUUGAGUUUCCUCCAUCUAUCUCUUCGCCUCACCCCUUCCGUUUGACUCUCCACCUCCUCGUGCGCUAUGGAGCGCUUUGUUGAUGAAAACAGAGGUGGGAUAGACAAAACAAUCCUUCUCAAGGACAAGUUACGUCUGGCUGAAGGAUUUUAUUUAAAAUAUAUGAAAGAGAAGAGGUGGCACAGAUGCAGACAGAGUAUGGUAAUGUAUUAUUGAAAUUGUCCUUCAGUUUUCUAUUAAGUUUGUGUGUAUGUGUGUAAAGUUGCCAGCAAUUUUUGUUUGAUUUACUGUUGUUUCCAUUUGUCCAUCAACCCAUGUCUGUUUCCCUUGACUACUUUUUCUCUCUGAAAGAAGAAAAACUAAGACAAGUCAAACCUGCAUUCUGGACUUUAGGAAAACUGACUUCUGAAAAAUGAAGGAAAUACUGAGCAGCUUUCCAUGGACGCCAAUACUAAAAGAAAAGGAAGUUAAGGAUGGAUGGGAAUUUUUCAAGAGUGAAAUACUCAAGGUGCAAAUGCAAACAGUGUCAACAAAGAAAAAAAAUAAGACAAGUGCAAAGAAGCUAGAAUGGACGUCCAAAGAAUUUCUAGCUGGACUAAGACUCAAAAGAGACAUGCACAAGAAGUGGAAAGGGGGAGAAUACCAAAGAAGAAUUUCAACAAAUAACCAACUCCUGUAGGGAAAAGGUUUGUAAGGCUAAAGCGCAAAACAAGCUCAGGUUUGCCAGGGACAUUAAAUCAAUUAAUAGGGCUUACAUCAGUAGAAAAAGGAAGAACAAGAGGCGAGGAGACGAUGAGGUAUUGCUGAGAGGGGAUAGGAAAAAGGCAAAACUACUUAAUGCCUGCUUUGCCUUGAUCUUAUAUCAAAAAAACCCCGUCCUCAACCUGAGCAACAUGGACAAAGAAUUGGGAGAAAUCCAACCCCAAAUAGAGAAACAAGUCGUCCAGGAAUACCUGGCUGCUCUAAACAAAUUCAAGUCCCCAGGGCCAGAUCAACUACAUCCAAGAGUAUUGAAGGAACUAGCGGAAGCUAUUUCAAAACCACUGGCAAUCAUAUUUGAGAGUUCUUGAAGAACAGGGGAAGUCCCAGCAGAUUGGAGGAGAAUUGGAGGAGGGCAAGUCUGGUCCCUAUCUUCAAGAAGGGGGGAAAGGAUGACCCAAACUAUUACCUCAUGUCAAUACCAGGCAACAUUGUUAAGAAAGUGGUCUCAAAAUACUUAGAAAAUAAUGUGGUCAUUCCUGUAUCAAAAACAAGUCAUGCCAGACUAAUCUGAUAUCUUUUUUCAAUAGAAUUACAAACUGGGUAGAUGCAGGGAAUGCCCUGGAAUGCCAUGGAUGUAGGGUAUCUAGAUUUCAGUAAGGCCUUCGACAAGAUCCUUCAUGACAACAACAACCCUAAUUAACUUGACUAUCUCAUCAGCCAAAAGCAGGUCCAACUUCCCAUUGAAAUACUGGUAUGUUUAUGUUGGUUAAAAUGUUCUUCAUUUUAAAUAUUGUAUUAUUCUUUCAUGUGUAUUUUGUUUUUGUUUUUGUUUUGCACUACAAAUAAGAUAUGUGUAGUGUGCAUAGGAAUUUGUUCAUGUUUUUUUAAACUAUAGUCUAGCCCCGCAACAGCCAUCCAGUUUAGCGUUCAAAGAGCAGAUACACCAAAUAAAUAACUGUCUGUGUAUUUUGUCCUCCUGUCUCAAUAUACAGGUCUCAAAUGCAAGGUUGCAUAUAUGCCUGAAAAUGUGAUUAAAAAUAGGAAUAAAGUUAUAACAAUUGACAAUAAGUUCCCUCUACAAGACUUCACAGGAUGAUGAAAAAACCAUGGAUAGGUUACUAUCCUGAAAGGCCUUUCUAGCUAAUACCUCUGUCAACUAUUUUAAUGUACUCUCUGGUCAACAUGAAUGAUGAUGAAAACAUGCAGCUACUGGCUGGAUGCUUUUUGCAUAAUGACUUUUUCAAAAUACUGUUAAGGUGUAAUGGGAACUUUAUAUUUUCAUUAGGUCUCUUUAGCUUGGUGUCAUGCCCAGGGAGGAUUAGUUCCAAAUUGCUGCUGAGGCUUGGAACAAGCAAUAACCCAGACAGCUAAAUGAAACUGUUUCUGAUUUACAUGGUACUAACUGUUAGAAGAAUCAAGUCUUGGGCCAUGCACAUUAGUCAUGUUUAAUAAUGCUGAUAACUGCUUAUUUCAAUACCAGCUAUUGAGGCUGUAGUCCAAUAAGCUUUUUGUACUUGGGGACACAGAAACUUGGCAAGAAGGCUAAUAGGUGAACAAAAUGAUAAAUUCCCAUAAACUCCUGAGCUAGAUUGGCUGUAGAAAUUUCUGGAGACAGGAGAACCCCUUAAUAUGGAACUGGCUUUCUAAUUGAUUAAGAUUGUAGAUGGACCAGAAAUGCAAUUAACAAAAUGUUGAGACCUGGAAUUCAACAUUUAUGCCUAUUAUGUACAACAAGAACAACAACAACCGUUUUCUAUGAAGAAAAAUACAUGCAAUUUGUUUUUACAUACAGUUCAAAGGACUUUAAGUAUUAGUUCCCCAAUUUCACCCGAAUGGCCAAUUUGCAUUGAUAGCUGUAUCUCUCUAGAUGGUUACCAGUUGUCUUUGGAAAUAAUUGCUAUUUAGGUUUAUAAAGCAUUCAUUAAAUGUCUCCUUAAAUUGCUUAAAGAUCAUAAUAGGCAUUUAAUGGAUGCUUUUUAAAGUGAAGUACAAAUUACUUUGGAUUAUAAGUAACAGUAGGUUUAUAAAGCUAUCAUUAUGUGUCUAUUAAGAUCAUUUAACUUAAGUGUUCUAUAAUUAGACAAGAGCCAGGAUUUUAAUUGCACAUUUGCAAACUGCUAGCUAGGGUUUCUAAAUUGAGCCUUUAUUUUGCACACUAUAGAUAGGCCUUUUUGUACAGUCAUGCCCUGCCAAACUGAAUGAGAUUAUCAGAUUGAAUAUUCUUUGAUAUAAUGCACACAAGUACACACACAGACCUUUGAAGAUGCUUUAAUUUGAUUAUACCGACAAUGAAAUAUAUGACAUUCUCUAGUUUAUCUGAAAGCUAUUCAGUGGUUUGCUUCUGAACAGAUAUUGUUUGACCUAUAGAAACAAGGUUUAAUCCAAUUUUUUGUUCUGGGCAACACCUGAAAGUCAUCAUCUAAUGAAUGUUUGGCUCAGUUCCACUUCCUAUACAGAUGUCCAUGUAAUGAUAAUACUACACUAAUUGGUUCUUUUAUUGACAGCCUCAGCAGACAUGCUAAAGACAUUAUCAUCAAGGAGACACUAACCCACUUACUGGUCCCAUGAGAUGCCCUGCAGCCAUCAAGAAUGCAGCUUGUUUGUAAGCCACGUACAUAUAUGCACAUCUAUGCCUUGCUUUCUUCUUCUUUAGAUUAUGGAGCUAAGUCACAAAGGCUGCUCACCAGCACUACAUUUGUUGCAAAAAUGUUCUUGGCAAUCUCCAGAUAUAGGCAAACUUUAUAGACUAUUAUGCUUGAAAUUUUUUUAAAAAUGCACAAACCAUGUCCCUUUUUAAAAAGGCUGACUGUUCAGAAAGAAUUGUUGGACAUUUGUUCUUGCCAAAAUAUUUUAAGAUAGGUUUUUACUCUAACUUAAUAUACCUUUGACCAAUAUACUGAUAUAACACCAUCUUAUAUAAUAACACUGAUAUGUUGUGCUUCUUAAAAUAUCUGAUGUGUUAGAUCAGAAGGCUUAUUUAAUCAAUAUUCAGGGAACAGGUAUCAUCUCUGUAGCCAUUUGCUACAACCGUUUAUUUUAAGUUCCUGGGCACUUCCCAGGAAUGACAGCCAAGGGUUUGCUGAUGUGCAGAAAUCCACAGUUGACCAUUUUGAGUAGCACUGGGCAGAAUGCCACACCAAGGAGAAGGCAAAGCUAGUAUUUUUUCCAUAGAUUGGUCAAUUUCGCUGUUAGAAUGUGGGCAAAAAAAGACAAUCAAAUCUGUUCCUAAUCUGGUGAUUCAAGAUAUAGGUAGUGAACAUCACUUUAUCACCAUGUUUUGUCCUUCCUCCCCUCCCCCAUAGUUAUGUCAGUCCCUUUUAAUUCCAUGGAUGCUACCAGAGAACUUUGGAUCUGCUCCAUAAACCAUAUAAUUGCAAAUCUGUAUACUUGCACUAACAUUGGACAUUAAAUGUCGAACACUAGAUUAACAAUUUUUAACUGGAUACAUGCAAAUUAAUGGUGGCAUUACAGAUUUAUCUCACUCAAAUAAUAUUUAACAGAAAAUGAAAAUGAGUAUUUAUUCAGUUUUUUAUGUUAUUUUAUUUUAUAUAAUGUGCUCUUCACACCUUUGAAACAUUAGCAUGCUGCUAGAUUGCUUAGGUUAUAUAAACAUUUGUCCAUAUUCCCUACCUGUCAUUCAACAUUAUUCUUUUAAUUCUUCUAGAGGUAACCAAUGUUUGCAUUUAAUCAAAUGACUACCACAACUUCUGGGAGUUUUAAUUUGGUGAGUCACCAGCACUUUUUGGCAGAGAAGGCAAAAUUACAACUCCCAUGUUUCCCAUCACUUUGAGCCAAGGCAGUUAAAGUGGGGGCUAACGGCAUUAAUUCUCCACUGUGGAUGCACCUUAGACAUCAUAUAUUAUAAAUAAGGCGAUAUUGUUCUAGAUGGUAAAUUUUAUAGUUUUAAAAGUGUAACUCUAAUUAUCUUUUCAGUAAAAAUCUUGCUUUUAUUAUAACUUUCAGGGUAAUAGUUAAAAAAGAGGUUUUGGCAAGUAUGCGUCGCAGUGGAAAAGAAGCAAUCGCUUGCUACGACGAUGACAAAAUGUAUAACUCAUUUUUCUGCAGUGACUCAUCAAUCAAAACAAUUUUCUCCAGGGGAAUAAUGUUAGCAACAAUCUGGAUCCCAUAUGAUGCUUCUAAAAGAAAAGAAAAGGAUGGUUUCUGUCCACAUUAUAUCUGUGAUGGUAGGAAUUAGGCUGGUUCUUAAGCCUAGACUUGAAAACAAAUGAAAGAUGUAAUUUGUCCACUCUUUUACUCCAGCUGGGAUCAAUGCAGAGAUAUAUAGCACGUUAGAGCAUCCGUUUAGAGAACAAGAAGGAACAUAAAAGCAUUAACUUGGAAACUCGGAUUUUAGUGAUGGAUUUCAGUGUUGAAAGGAAAGGCUUUGUGCAAGUAGUAACUAUACAAUUGCCAGGAGGCAGCUAAAUAACAUUUUUCUUCUCUGAACCCAUAGAGUCACUUCUCUCAGAACAAAAACACCCACCUAGAGUGGCAGAUUCACUGUGCUGACAGAGUUUCAAAACUAAGAACCACAAAGAUGUAACAGGGCUUGGAAACUUGCUUGUAACAAGUAUUACAUGCUGAAACUAUCUAUAAUUGAACAGUCAUAGGAUGCUGCUGCUCAGUUAUGGAUGGGUUUGCCAUAUUUUUUCUUCUUACAAAUAACUUCCACGAUCUGCCAGGUAGUGAGAGAAUCAUCUCAAAGGAGAACUCAAAACAUCUUUUUUAUUCAUUUCUUCUCCACACACACUUAAAAACACAGGACAUAGUCUGAGUAGUUUAUACAGCCCUAUUCCCCCAAAGCAGUUAAAUUUUCAUUAUGUAUUAAUGAAGAGGGCAAUUGAUUUUUGUGUGUGAAUAAAAUACAAUCUUAUUAACCACUUCCAGAACUAGUGCAAUGCUGUGGAGUGUUCAACACAGAGACAGUGCAGAAAAUUCCUUUUUUGAUUAACACUGACAAUAUGACCAUAUUAAGUUUCAACAGGUAAAUCUUCAGAUAUACGAGGCUUGAAUUAAAAGUAAUGCCUCCACCUUCGUAACUCCUCAACAGAUGGCAGUACUAGUAUGUGGCAGGUACUGGCUUGUUCAGUAGACUCUCCUCUACAGUUCCAUUUGGCGGGAAGCCUUAGCAUUGAAUGGCUGUGUUGUUAAAGUGCAAAGUAUGGAACCUUGUGCAGACGGUCGGUCAAUGCGACUUAAGCAACAUGCAGUCAUUGAAUUCUUGACUGCAGAAGGUGUCACCCCAAAGGAGAUUCAUCAGAGAAUGCAAGCUGUUUAUGGUGAUUGUGUUGAUGUGAGUACUGUGCGUCAUUGGGGGAGUAAGUUUAAAGAUGUUGAUGUGGGAACAUCUGACUUAUGUGACAAAGAGUUGGAUGUCCUGUGACAGCAACCACCGAGUAUCACAAGCAAAAGGUUGACAGAUUGAUUCAGGACGAUUUCAGAGAGAAAUUUCAAGCAUAAUCAGCAUUUCACAAGAAUGUGUGGGUCACAUUAUUGCUUUGCAUAGCUAUCGGAAGAUCUGUGCAUGAUGGGUACUAUGAAAUGCUGGUUGUGGAAACAAAGUGUCGGCUUCUUCUGUGACAGCUUCAGAAAACUUGUUCAUCAUUAGCAGAAAUGUAUCCAAUUGUCUGGUGAUUAUGUGGAAAAGUGAAUAGUGGUAGUUAAAGAGCACAUUCUAAGGAUUAUUUCUGUGUUUGAUUUAUUAAAAUAUUCCCAUUCAAACCCAAGUAACGAAGGUGGAGGCAUUACUUUUCAUUCAACACUCGUAGAUAUCAGGAAUCUACCAAUGAAAUGCAGCAAUCAAACAAGCAAACUAACUAGCAAACACCUUAUAAUGGCAUCCUAAAUCUUUGCAUAAUACUUUCUGGAUGAGGGCUAACAAGUUGAAGCUUAAUUCAGACAAGACAGAGGCCCUCCUGGUCAGUGUUGGGACCAAUCGGGGUAUUGGGUAGCAACCUGUGCUCGACAGGGUUGCACUCCCCCUGAAGGCACAGGUCCGCAGUCUGGGGGUCCUCCUGGAUUCAUCUCUGGUGCUUGAUGCCCAGGUGUCGGCGGUGGCCGGGAGGGCCUUUGCACAAUUAAAACUUGUGCGGCAGCUGCGACCAUACCUCGAGAAGUCUGACUUGGCCACGGUGGUCCAUGCCUUAGUUACAUCCAGACUGGAUUACUGCAAUGCUCUCUACGUGGGGCUGCCCCUGAAGACGGCCCGGAAACUUCAACUGGUUCAAAGUUCGGCAGCCAGAUUUCUAACUGGAGCCAGCUAUAGGGAGCACACAAUGCCCCUAUUAAAGCAGCUCCACUGGCUGCCGAUAAACUGCCGGGUCCAAUUCAAGGUACAGGUUUUGACCUAUAAAGCCUUAUAUGGCUCGGGCCCUACCUAUCCCCGUGAUCACAUCUCCUCCUAUGAGCCAGUGGGGACCUUGAGAUCAUCCGGGAAGGCUCUUCUCGUGCUCCCACCACCGUCUCAAGUCCGGCUGGUAGGGAUGAGGGAAUGAGCCUUCUCGGUAGUGGCCCCUCGGCUCUGGAAUGCACUGCCAAAAGAGAUCAGGCAAUCCCCUAAUUAUCCAAUUUCCGUAAGGAACUGAAGACUUGGUGGUGUCGGCAGGUUUUUGAGUAAUUCCAUUGGAAUACCGCCGAUUUCUGGGCCUGAAUAUAUUGCACAAGAUUUCUCUAGCCUAAAAUGAUACAUUUUAAUAUAUUGGGUUUAUGGUUCCUGUCCCCUUGAUCAGGUCAUGUAAAUGUUAUUUAUUGCUAUAAUUGUAUUAUUUUACUUUGCUUAAUAAUGUGUUAUUAUGUUGUUAUGUAAUGUUGUUUUAUGAUUGGAAACCUCCCUGAGUCCCAUCCAGGAGAUAGAGCGGUAUAUAAAGUAUUAUUAUUAUUAUUAUUAUUAUUAUUAUUAUUAUUAUUAUUAUUAUUAUUAUUAAGUUGAUCAAUCAGGGGACUAUUCAUAAAGUGUGGCAAACACUGGAGGCUUUCUUGAUACAUUGCUCCUUUGUCACAAUUUACCCCCUCUAAGUCAUAUCAACCCCUCUGUCUCAAUGCACAUAAAAUAAUAGUUUCUGAAUCAAUGAUUUCUGGUGUAGCCCAUUUUAGGUUUAAGCAGGUAACACUUAUCUUUGAACCUCUAAUGUAGAAUCGUGCCUAAAACCUGAAAAGUCAGUUGUGGCAAUUAUGGUCACAACUGAAUUAGUGGUUCAAGAUACAUUGCCAUUCAUGAUGUGACAGACCGAAUAUCUCUGUGAUUAUGUUAAUGACUGCACCAUUUCACUGUUCAUGUAAAGUACAUAUAUGCAUGUUUUCACACUCUAAUGCACAAUGUAUGUACAGUAACCUACAUCCCUCUUCCUAGGACAUGGUUUUGACACCUUUUACCAGCUUUUUCCAUCAAGAAGGUCUUCCUAUUUAGGUGGGAUCUUGUUUUUUUGUAAUUUAAAUCUAGUGCUCUAGGCCCUUAUCUCCGGAACAGCAGGUAACAAUUUCCAGUAACCUUUCCAAGUUCAGAAUACAUUGACAAUAUUAUGGUCACCAUUCCUUUUGUGUGUUGAUUUUCAUGAUCCAUUUUGAUUCUCAUCAAUUUAAACUGUUCUGCUGUAGUGGAAUUAAUUGGAUUUCAUACAAUAUAUUUAUCCAGUCAAUGAAAAGCUUGGGGCUCCCAUUUUAGCCAUUUUAAAUCCUAGCAUUGAAAGAGCUCUCCAAAGCACUGGAUGUAGGUGCGAAUAGUAGUAUAUUGAAUAGAUCCACUAAUGUUCAAACUAAAACCUAAAGCAGAACCACCUCCCAUGGAAGCCAUCAGCCACAAUAGUUCAUUUGCAAUAGAAUUUCUUAGCUUUUUCUACUUUGCAUUCGUCUGUCUCAUAUGAGACUUGAUGGUUGUGUGGUUUUAACAUCAAGACUCUUGAGAACAUCAGAAACACUUGAACAGAGUGUUCUUAAGUGCUGAAGAGCAAUCUGUAGGUGAUUCCUUAAUGGUUGAAUCAGACUGACACAGCAGCAACCUCUAUGAGCUGUCUAGGUGAACUGUUGAUUUCUUUCAAAAGCAUAAGAAAAUUGACUUUGACACCUAAACUCUGGGCAAGAACAAGAUGACUAAAAUUGAAUGAAUUUUUUAUUGUACCAGCCAUAGGCCAUGGCAUCAAAUAAUAUACAACUUUUUAAAGUACAGUAUACACUUCCCAAUAUAAACCUUAACACUUAUUCUAUAAACUGGCUCUUUAAUAUUACAGUAAGGUAAAGGUAAAGGUUUUCUCCUGACGUUAAGUCCAGUCAUGUCUGACUCUGGGGGUUGGUGCUCAUCUCCAUUUCUAAGCCGAAGAGCCGGCAUUGUCCGUAGACACCUCCAAGGUCAUGUGGCCGGCAUGACUGCAUGGAGCGCCGUUACCUUCUCGCCGCAGCGGUACCUAUUGAUCUACUCACAUUUGCAUGUUUUCAAACUGCCAGGUUGGCAGGAGCUGGGGCUAUCAGCGGGCGCUCAUUUCGCUCCCGGGAUUUGAACCUGGGACCUUUCGGUCCGCAAGUUCAGCAGCUCAGAGCUUUAACACACUGCGCCACCACCAGGGGUGGUGGCAGUGACAAUUCCUGUAGGCAUAAUAACAGUAACAAUAUCUGAUUUGUAUUAUCCCAAACUAUUUCCAUAGCCAUAGGUCAAGCUUGCUUCAGGUAGAAACUUUAAAAGAGCCUAUGAAGCUGAAAUAUGUAUAGCCAAGUAUAGGUUUAGUAGGGAAUCCUUUUAUAAUAUUGAAAGGCAAGUGUUAUAUUUCCAAAGUACCUUUACAGUAGAGUCUCACUUAUCCAACACUCGCUUAUCCAACGCUCUGGAUUAUCCAACGCAUUUUUGUAGUCAAUGUUUUCAAUACAUCAUGAUAUUUUGGUGCUAAAUUAGUAAAUACAGUAAUUACUACAUAGCAUUACUGCAUAUUGAACUACUUUUUCUGUCAAAUUUGUUGUGUAACAUGAUGUUUUGGUGCUUAAUUUGUAAAAUCAUAACCUAAUUUGAUGUUUAAUAGGCUUCUCCAUAAUCCCUCCUUAUUAUCCAACAUAUUCGCUUAUCCAACGUUCUGCCAGCCCGUUUAUGUUGGAUAAGUGAGACUCUACUGUAUUUACUUACGGAUUUUAGAAAUAUGUUUUAUAUGGUAUGAAUGCUUGAGUAUGUAAUCAUGAUGAUGAUGAUGAUGAUGAUUAUUAUUAUUAUUAUACCAAUGGGGAAAGUCUAUUUAAAAAAAUCUGACCAGAUGCCCAAGCAGAGAAAUGUAUAGGCAAAUCAGAAGCAUGAGCCCACCAAACAAAAAUUAUUUAAAUCCCAUUAAAUUUAUUGGGAAUAUAUUUAAAUGCGACACCUUGAAAUUCAUGACAUGCAAUAUGUAACAUUAGCAGCGUAGUGUCAAACAUUUUUAAAAUGUUUUCCUAAUAGAGACAUUACAAACAUAUUUUAUAAGAUAUAUGUCUGCAAACCAAAAGAUCUCAAAGAUUUUAAUAUGCUAUGCUAUAGUAAGUUCAGGUUUCUUCCUUUUCUCUCUUUCAUCUAUUGGCAUAGUUUUCUCCAGUUAAUGAUCAGCCACCCAUUUAUUUAUUGUUUUGCAUAGUCUUAGCUUAAUUCUAAAUCCAUGAUGUUUUCCUUUCAUGUCAUUCUUAAGCAGCCCUUCAUAACAUUACUACUAGAUGCCUGGAAGUAUUUUCUUCACAAAGAAAAUCAAAAUGUUCCAUGCAUGAGAACUGGAGAAGAACUGACAAUAGAUGAUGCUAUAAAAUAGCCAGAGAGUGAUUGUAUGAUGCUUCAGAGCCUGCCAUUCUGAUUCACAACAAGAUGUGAAUAUAUUGCUUUGGGCUAUUUAUAGGGAUUCAUGGGCAGGUGUUCUCUCAUUUGCUUUCAUGCUGGUGUUCAGAUUGCUAUAGUUUAGCAUUUUUCUUUAGAAUGCAAAUGUCUGGAAUAGCUUUAAAAUGGGAUGCUAACUCUUCCUCUCUCCUCCUUCUGUCAGAUGCCUCAUUAAAGCUUUCUUACAGUGGGGUGGAAAGAGAGGGAGGGAUAGUGGGGGAGAAAGGGAGUGGGGGAGAGAAAGCUGUCCUUGACUUCAUUUCUAGCAAAAUUAAAUCCCUCUGGACUCUGUAUGAUACAGUGAUGAUGUUGAGAUUUUCCAGCCAAAAAUGAAAUGAAAAGGGAGGUGAGUUCAUACACAUUGGAGAAAAUAUUACAUUUGGCUCAUUUUGACAGAUGAAAAUUUUUGUAUAUGUGUGCACAUAUCUGAAAUGAAAUGCAGAACAUUCAUAUUGUUCCAAAUUUUUAACUAGUAUAGGGAGCUCUGGCAUGGGUUGAUCCAUGAGGUUACGAAGAGUUGGAAGUGACUGAAUGAAUAAACAACAAAGGACAUUGUGUCUACCAAACUGAGAAUUAAACUCAGUGGUAGCUCUGCAUAAAAUCACUGAAACAAAUGAAACUUGUUAACCAUAGCCGACAUACACUAAAGAGGUCAUGAAUAUUCACAAGUUUUCAGUUUGAGAAAGUAUUUCACAGCUCCAUGGGAAGAACUGAAAGUCCUGUCUGGGAACAACUGAAAAUCUCUGACUGAGAGCAAUUUUUCAGACUCCUGGGCUUUAAAAGUUCUUUAAAGAGAUUGGACAUAACACAUUCCUAAUAACAGCAUUACCUGUGAAGUGUAAUUUCAUAAAAAUGUUAACUGAUGCUAUUUGCUUUAUUAUUCAAAAACAUAGCUUUUGAGGGGGUUGUAGAGAUUUGCGGGAGGCAACUUUUAUAUUUUUAGUGCAUUUUUUGUUUUAAACACUAAUUGAGAAGAAUGAAAAGUGGCAUAGUAGUCUUAAUGAGCAAGGUCUGUAUUAUUUUCUAUUAGAAAUAACAUCCAAGCACUGUUUCUUUCAUAUUACAAGAUAACAGAUUUUUUAAUUGCUAAGGGACUGAACAUAGGAUAUUUAUUAUUCAGUGAAUGAACAUGAACUAUGGACCUUCUCAGCUUGUUCUCUAAAUCUCACACUUUAAACUUAUAGCAAUCAAAGUUGGUAUCUGAUAUGUGACAUAAGAGUAGCCAUACCUUCCAACAUUUAUAGUAUUUAUGUUCAUGUUACUGUGAUACUGUUUCUAGUAACACUACAAAAUGCUACAUAAUUGCAAAGUGUUAGUGUUGAUGACUCUUAUUACGAUUAAAUUUCAGGCUAAAUGUAGCACAAUCCAAUGUGAAUAUAUUCACAACUUGGCCGGCACCAGAAAAUGAACUGCUUACAUCAUUUAUGUAGAGUAUUACAUUAUUUAUACUGGUAUAGUCACUUUGUGGGGAUUUGCAUGGAUGCUAUUUGAGGGUGGUGGCUUUAUAUAUAGUUAAAACAUUUUUCAACACAAUACUAGAUCUAUCUUUUUUUGGGGGCAAUUAAAGCAUAAGCAUAUUUGGUGUUGAGGGCCAAUGUAAGAAUUAAAAAAAAAUUCAAGUAACAAGCUACAAUGAAACUGUGUCCAUGGAAUUUGAUCCUUUCAACAGUAACUGAGUAAAAACAACAGGCAUAGAAUGUAAUUUGUCCCUUUUUCUUGAAAUGAUAAUGAUAAUUUCCCACAUGAUUCUUCAGUAGGACAUAAAUAAUGUUGGAGAAAUGGAAAUUACUUGUAAAACAUAUUGCGCUGCUGCCUUGUUCUUAAAGUUCUUUGCAAGUGAGGUGGUUGUGAAUGACAGUCAAACAUUGGGGAAAGAGGGAUGAACACAAUGGAAGUAUGAAAGAAGAUUCUUGUUUCCAUUCUUAUUUGCAAAAAAAGUAAACAUAAAGGGGAAGGUUCAGCUGGAAAUAAAUCUCAGAGAGAGAGAAACUGAGGGAAAAAUACAGCUGAAGGAAGUUUUGGUCACUCUUUUUAUAUUUCAAAAGUUUAACUUGCCAGUCCAUCAGUACGGGCAAGGGAAGACAGGGACAUAGAGAAUAUGGUUGAAUGAAGUUAGAAAGGGAAAGAGAUUAAAGAAGUGGCAGGAGAGAGGCAAAGAAAACAGUUCUACAUUUCACAGAUACUGGGAAUAAGAAACAUGUAAAGGCAACCAGAGAUCCCACUAUUCUGGGAUGACAAAUCCACAUGCAAUUUUACAAGAGCUACUCACAGUUUUAUAGGAGCUAUUGAAAAUGUUGAAACAUAUAGAUUCAGCACCUUGGAGAGUUCCUAUAAAACUGAGAUUAGCUCCUGUAAAACACACUGUGAAAUUACAAUCUUGAAAUUGCAAUGCUGCUGGCCAUCUCUGUAAACAUAUACACACAUAAGAGCAUGAAGGCAAGAAGUAUUCUGGUACUGUUUGUUUCCUUCCCUUAGAGUAUCUGUUUUUUUCAUGGAGAAUGUAAGAAAGAAGCAACAGUAGCCCUGGGUUGUUGUAUGUCUUUUGGGCUGUAGCACAAUGAACACAAUGAACAGUAGCAACGCAGGCAGGGAACAGUAAGGAAAGCAAGAGGGACUGUGUGCUUGGGUAUAUUAUAGUUUGAUGAGUUUUGAUGCUAUUGAUUGCAGAAGUUGCAAACCUUGGUGGUGACUAGGCAGAUAGAAUGUAUGCCUGCUAAAGAAGUGAUGAUGGAAAUGCAAUAAUAAUGUGUAAUGUAAUGAGCCACUUUAGCAGCUGGCGGUAUAAUAAUGGACACCUGGCCUCAAGCAGCAAACAAGAAUGCAAAACAUUCAUUUUUUUAUUUUUUUUAAAGAAAAAUUCCAAGAUCUGGAAGUGAGAAAGACAAAUAGGGAUGAUAAAAUAGACAACAGAUGUUGUGUGAGAAUAGAUUGCCACCAUUGCAGACACUGUAUGAGGACAAACUGCUUGAAUGAAAGGGAGCAGACCCAAACUAAACACAGUCUGUCCAUCUCUGUGAUCAAACCUUCCAGUUCAUGCUCAUCCAUCUUCAACAUCCACCUUAGUUUUAAAAUAGAAAGGCUCAGCAUUGAGGAAGAAAAAUUGGAAUACUAUAUCCGUUCACCCAGUAGAAACUCAUCUUUAUACCUGCACAACAUGUUCUGUAAUGAUCAGUAGGAAGAUGGGUAGCAAGCUGAGGAUUGUCAUUGGUGAUGUUCUAAUAGCCAACACAAUGAUGAUUUUAUCCUCUGAGACCUCCGGAUAAACUCUGAAUGGUUUUGAAGAAGGUCUGCAUCAUUAUGCAUCAGCUUUCAGAACACAGCCAGCAAUGGUACCUGAAUUCUCCUGCCUUUCACUUAUCCAUUAUAUUGAGAGGUAUGAGAAGUGGGAAAGGAAAAAAAUGUGUUAUGGGGAGACUUUCUCUCCUUGUUUAAAAAGUGCCCAGUUUUCAGAGAUAUUCCCCAGAAGGUAAAACUGAUAUUAUGUUUUUUCCCCUACAAAAAAUAAAUAAAUCCCUACUGCAUACAGUGGAGAUUUUGAGGGACUGUACUCUAAGACAUGAAAGCUUGGAAAAGCUUUCACGAUGCUGGGGAAAAUGGAAGGAAAAAGGAAGAGAGGCCGACCAAAGGUGAGAUGGAUGGACAGUAUCCUUGAAGUGACUGGCUUGACCUUGAAGGAACUGGGGGCAGCGACAGCCGACAGGAAGCUCUGGCGUGGACUGGUUCAUGAGGUCACGAAGAGUCGGAAACGACUAUGCAACUGAGCAGCAGCACUCUGAAAGAACUCCACAGAACAACAUUUGCAUGGAUUAUUGGAUCACUUUUCUGAGAAUCAAGUAGAUAUGAAGCCAUUUUUUGAUGUAACCAGCAUGCUGUUAUGCUUUUAUAGGUAAUGAUUGUACUACCUAUACAUAUUUUGUCUUCUUUCUUCUGUUCUUUCUACCAUGUGUAGUUAGGACAGCUUUUGCAUUAUCAUUUUCCUCCAGAGGAAAAAAGCUCUGGUGAUUGGUGGUGUCCUAUGGGAUUCUUUACAUUAGAUGCAUCAUUAGAUGUACUUUGAACUUUCCAGAUCAUUAUUAAAGGAUAGUAGAAUAAAAGGCACACACAUUACAUUUCA